rnacentral:rRNA from 1 species
UGAAUACGAGACGCUAAGGCGUCGAAGUAGUGUAUGUCAUACUUCCAAGAAAAGCUUGCACUGUCAUAGAUAAAAAACGCCUGUACCAUAACCGACACAGGUGGGUAGGUAGAGUAUACUAAGGGGCGCGAGAUAACUCUCUCUAAGGAACUCGGCAAAAUAACUCCGUAACUUCGGGAGAAGGAGUGCCUUAUUCGUAAGGUUGCAAUAACAAGAUCCAAGCAACUGUUUAUCAAAAACACAGGUCUCCGCUAAGUCGUAAGACGAUGUAUGGGGGCUGACGCCUGCCCAGUGCCAGAAGGUUAAAGAAGUUGGUUAGCAAUUGCGAAGCUGAUAACUGAAGCCCUGGUGAACGGCGGCCGUAACUAUAACGGUCCUAAGGUAGCGAAAUUCCUUGUCGGGUAAGUUCCGACCCGCACGAAAGGCGUAAUGAUUUGGAUACUGUCUCGGAGAGGGGCUCGGUGAAAUAGACUUGUCUGUGAAGAUGCGGACUACCUGCACCAGGACAGAAAGACCCUAUGAAGCUUUACUGUAACUUGAAAUUGAAAUUGGACUUUAUUCGCGCAGUAUAGGUGGGAGGCGUUGAUUAUAAUCUUGUGGGAUUAUUGGAGCCAUCAGUGAGAUACCACUCUUGUAAUGUUAGAUUUCUAACUUUGAAUCAUUAUCUGGUCAAAGAACAGUUUCAGGCGGGCAGUUUGACUGGGGCGGUCGCCUCCUAAACGGUAACGGAGGCGUACAAAGGUUUCCUCUGAACGGUUAGAAAUCGUAUCUAGAGUGUAAAGGCAUAAGGAAGCUUGACUGUGAGACCUACAAGUCGAGCAGGGACGAAAGUCGGUCUUAGUGAUCUGACGGUACUGAGUGGAAAGGCCGUCACUCAACGGAUAAAAGUUACUCUAAGGAUAACAGGCUGAUCUCCCCCAAGAGUUCACAUCGACGGGGAGGUUUGGCACCUCGAUGUCGGCUCAUCGCAUCCUGGGGCGGUAGUACGUCCCAAGGGUUGGGCUGUUCGCCCAUGAAAGCGGUACGCGAGCUGGGUUCAGAACGUCGUGAGACAGUUCGGUCCAUAUCCGGUGUAGGCGUUAGAAUAUUGAGAGGAGCCUUCUUUAGUACGAGAGGACCGAGAAGGACAUACCUCUGGUGUACCAGUUAUCGUGCCAACGGUAAACGCUGGGUAGCUAUGUAUGGAGUGGAUACCCGCUGAAAGCAUCUAAGUGGGAAGCCCACCUCAAGAUAAGUAUUCUCA